rnacentral:rRNA from 1 species
AGAGUUUGAUCCUGGCUCAGAAUGAACGUUGGCGGCGUGGAUUAGGCAUGCAAGUCGAACGAGUCUCUGGGGGGUAACUCCUAGAGGAAAGUGGCGAAAGGGGCAGUAAUGUAUGGGUAACCUACCUUGAGGUCUGGGAUAGCUAUUCUAACGGAUAGGUAAUACUGGACGGCCUAAGUUGUCGGCAUCGACGAUUUAGUAAAGGUUACGCCUCGAGAGGGGCCCAUAUGAUAUUAGCUAGUUGGUGGGGUAAUGGCCCACCAAGGCAAAGAUGUCUAGCGGGUGUGAGAGCACGACCCGCGUCACUGGCACUGAGACACUGGCCAGACUCCUACGGGAGGCUGCAGUCGAGGAUCUUCGGCAAUGGACGCAAGUCUGACCGAGCAACGCCGCGUGUGCGAUGAAGGCCUUCGGGUUGUAAAGCACUGUCGAGGGGAAACAAGCCGUAAGGUUGAGUGACCCCUGGAGGAAGCACGGGCUAAGUUCGUGCCAGCAGCCGCGGUAAGACGAACCGUGCAAACGUUAUUCGGAAUCACUGGGCUUAAAGGGCGCGUAGGCGGGUAAUCAAGUCAAUGGUGAAAGCCUCCAGCUUAACUGGAGAAGUGCCUUUGAUACUGAUUGUCUAGAGUGAGGUAGGGGCAUGUGGAACUUCCGGUGGAGCGGUGAAAUGCGUAGAUAUCGGAAGGAACGCCAGUGGCGAAAGCGAUGUGCUGGACCUUUUCUGACGCUGAGGCGCGAAAGCUAGGGGAUCAAACGGGAUUAGAUACCCUGGUAGUCC